AACGAACGCUGGCGGCAGGCUUAACACAUGCAAGUCGAGCGCCCCGCAAGGGGAGCGGCAGACGGGUGAGUAACGCGUGGGAACGUACCCUUUACUACGGAAUAGCUCCGGGAAACUGGAAUUAAUACCGUAUGUGCCCUUCGGGGGAAAGAUUUAUCAGUAAAGGAUCGGCCCGCGUUGGAUUAGCUAGUUGGUGGGGUAAAGGCCUACCAAGGCGACGAUCCAUAGCUGGUCUGAGAGGAUGAUCAGCCACAUUGGGACUGAGACACGGCCCAAACUCCUACGGGAGGCAGCAGUGGGGAAUAUUGGACAAUGGGCGCAAGCCUGAUCCAGCCAUGCCGCGUGAGUGAUGAGGGCCUUAGGGUUGUAAAGCUCUUUCACCGAUGAAGAUAAUGACGGUAGUCGGAGAAGAAGCCCCGGCUAACUUCGUGCCAGCAGCCGCGGUAAUAC
rnacentral:rRNA from 1 species